rnacentral:rRNA from 1 species
ACGGGAGGCAGCAGUGAGGAAUAUUGGUCAAUGGGCGGAAGCCUGAACCAGCCAAGUCGCGUGAAGGAUGAAGGUUCUAUGGAUUGUAAACUUCUUUUGUUCGAGGGUAAAGUGAGGGUCGAGACCCUUAUUGCAAGUAUCGAACGAAUAAGCAUCGGCUAACUCCGUGCCAGCAGCCGCGGUAAUACGGAGGAUGCGAGCGUUAUCCGGAUUUAUUGGGUUUAAAGGGAGCGUAGGCGGGCCUUUAAGUCAGUGGUAAAAGCGUGUGGCUCAACCAUACCACGCCAUUGAAACUGGAGGCCUUGAGUGCACACAGGGAUGCUGGAAUUCGUCGUGUAGCGGUGAAAUGCUUAGAUAUGACGAAGAACUCCGAUCGCGAAGGCAGGUGUCCGGGGUGUAACUGACGCUGAGGCUCGAAAGUGCGGGUAUCAAACAGGAUUAGAUACCCUGGUA